rnacentral:misc_RNA from 1 species
AACUGAUACUACCUGCGGGAACCUGCGGAAGGAUCAUUGCUGGAACGCGCCCCAGGCGCACCCAGAAACCCUUUGUGAACUUAUACCUUACUGUUGCCUCGGCGCAUGCCGGCCCCCAGGGGCCCCUCGGAGACGAGGAGCAGGCACGCCGGCGGCCAACCUAACUCUUGUUUUUACACUGAAACUCUGAGAAAAAAAACAAAAUGAAUCAAAACUUUCAGCAAUGGAUCUCUAGAUCGG